rnacentral:rRNA from 1 species
CCUACGGGAGGCAGCAGUGGGGAAUCUUGCACAAUGGGGGAAACCCUGAUGCAGCGACGCCGCGUGAGUGAUGAAGUAUUUCGGUAUGUAAAGCUCUAUCAGCAGGGAAGAAAAUGACGGUAAGUGAUUAAGAAGCUCCGGCUAACUACGUGCCAGAAGCCGAGGUAAUACGUAGGGGGCAAGCGUUAUCCGGAUUUACGGGGGGUAAAGGGAGCGUAGACGGUUGUACAAGAAUGGAGUGAAAUGCCGGGGCUUAACCCCGGAAGUGCAUUGGAAACUGGGAAACUUGAGUGCAGGAGAGGAAAGUGGAAUUCCAUGUGUAGCGGUGAAAUGCGUAGAGAUAAGGAGGAACACCAGUGGCGAAGGCGACUUACUGGUCUGUAACUGACGCUGAUGUGCGAAAGCGUGGGGAGCAAACAGGAUUAGAUACCCGGGUAGUC